GAAAUGCGAUAAGUAAUGUGAAUUGCAGAAUUCAGUGAAUCAUCGAAUCUUUGAACGCACAUUGCGCCCGCCAGUAUUCUGGCGGGCAUGCCUGUCCGAGCGUCAUUUCAACCAUCAAGCCCCCGGGCUUGUGUUGGGGACCUGCGGCUGCCCGCAGGCCCUGAAAACCAGUGGCGGGCUCGCUGUCACACCGAGCGUAGUAGCAAUCACCUCGCUCAGGGCGUGCUGCGGGUUCCGGCCGUUAAACAGCCUUACAAAACCCAAGGUUGACCUCGGAUCAGGUAGGAAGACCCGCUGAACUGAAGC
rnacentral:misc_RNA from 1 species